CGCGGGGUGGAGCAGCUUGGUAGCUCGUCGGGCUCAUAACCCGAAGGUCGUCGGUUCGAAUCCGGCCCCCGCAA
rnacentral:tRNA from 1 species